rnacentral:rRNA from 1 species
AACGCGAAGAACCUUACCAGGUUUUGACAUUUCUUGAUCAGUCUAGAGAUAGACUUUUCCCUUCGGGGACAAGAGGACAGGUGGUGCGUGGUUGUCGUCAGCUCGUGUCGUGAGAUGUUGGGUUAAGUCCCGCAACGAGCGCAACCCUUGUAUUUAGUUGCCAUCAGGUAAAGCUGGGCACUCUAAAUAGACUGCCGUAGACAAUACGGAGGAAGGUGGGGAUGACGUCAAAUCAUCAUGCCCCUUAUGACCUGGGCUACACACGUGCUACAAUGGCCUGAACAGAGGGUAGCGAAAUAGCGAUAUGGAGCCAAUCCCAUAAAACAGGUCUCAGUUCGGAUUGCAGGCUGCAACUCGCUUGCAUGAAGUCGGAGUUGCUAGUAAUCGCGAAUCAGAAUGUCGCGGUGAAUGCGUUCCCG